CAUAUAAUUGUGUUUUCAUUUAUUUAUUUUUUAAUUAUUCUUAAUUUGUUUCUUUUCGGCAGGUUUGAGCACAUUUCAACAGAGUGUUGCCAUGGAUCGACUGCGAAGGAUUGUUGGUGUUCUACAAAAACCCAACCUUGGGUAUUUCAUUUUAUUCUAUUAAACUUUCACCAUUGAUACAUUUAUAUAUAUUAUUUAUAUAAUGCCAUUUAAUAAAUCCUAUUUUUCUGUUAUUCCUCCAUAGGGAGAAGUAUAUGGGCACUCUUCUGCAGCUGGAGAUGAUGUUAAAGGCUUGGUUCCCUCAGGUGAGGCCUCAGCAUCGCGAUGACACCCCUUCACUCCACAGUCUUAUGGCUAGCCUGCCUCCACGCUGGAAUCAGGACCAGUUACAUAUUCCUGUGAAGAAACGCAGAGUAAGUUGGUCAGAUUCUGACUCGCAAGGUUCUUCAAGCAGCAAACGCGUUCAAGAGGACGAUCGAGGUCUGAGCCCCAGCGAUAGCAGCUCAUGGCUCAGCAGCUCCGAUACCACAUCUAGUGAACUUGAAGACAGUAUGAUCUGUACAAAUCAAAAUAAUGUGACAUCUGAACCCAAACUCAUCGAAAACAGCAAACUUCUAGUCAGGCAAAAGACAAACUCCUUAAACGAAACCUCUAAGACUGCAACAGGAAGACCUCCUCCGCUUGUAAUACCAUUGUCAGCGACAGAUGGCAGCAGCUUGGGCAUGCAGGACUGUUCUGUGUCCUCCACUAAUCCUACUUCCGCCCCACCAGAGGACAUGAUGAUGAGUGAGAAAGAUGUGGGUGAAUCUGUAAAAGGAGAAAGGCCAAAAAAACUGAUUAAUAGUUGCACAGAGAUGUUAAACGCAUAACAUUUUGAAGUUUCUCAUGUUUAAAAGAAUGAUUGACUUAACAUUUCUCCAGCCUGUUGAUACUGAGAAUUCAUUGUUUUUCCACAAAGUUUUGUUCAUUUAGUUUAGUUAAUUUUGCAUUCUGCCACAUAUAUGUACAGCACAGAAAUUAUCAUAUGUACAAUGUGACAUAAGGUUUGUGUUUAUACGAUUAUAGGUUGAAGAAAGAAGUGUCUUUAAAAUACAUGCCAGAGCCGUAUAGUCAAGCGGCGAAACAACAUGCACAGCUAUCAAACACUCUACUGCUCCACUUUCCAUGAUAACACAGACUUCCAACAAUAUCUGCAGCUUUAUGAACAUAAAACCAGUAAGCCAGAUAUCAGCAGAAAAAUAGUUUGGUAAAACGUCCAGAAGCAUGACUGUUAUUGCAAUCUACAUUAAUGUUCUUUGACUUGAAUUGAAAAACACUUUGAGCAUUGGCUGAAAUAGAAAUACAUUAUAUGGGGGGAUAUUUUAGAGGCAGUUUUAUUUAUUGCAUUAUUACUUGAAGAUACUGAAUUCACUUAAGCAGCCUUAAAGUGUCCGUACAAGUGGGCCCUGGCCAUUAUCAUAGCUCAGUGUUUCAUAUUUAUUAAGAGACCGAAAGAAUAAUCCCAGGAACAACAGAUGGGAUGUGUGUGAGGUGUUAUUCUAUAAUCUGGGGAGUAAACGUUCAUUUAUUGAAAAUGUUCUUGCCAAAAACUGCACAUUUAUGUUGUUCUGCUUCCAUGCUAUAAUAGUUUGUUUUGUCUUGGAGAUCUCGAUUUUUGUUAUAGGAAAUUGCACAAUUGUUUCCUUUAACUCACCUUUUUUUUUCCAUUUAGAAUUUGUGAAUCUGAGCAUUGUGACUAUUAACCAUUCUCUAAAACUAACAUGUUCAAGUUAAUGAUGAAUAUGUGGCGUGUCACACACUGUAAAGGUCACACUGAGGCAGAUGAGACUUGUAUUUUAUUUAGUUAUUUGUAGAAUAUAUUCUGACAUUAUAGAUGCAGUAUUUGGUAGUUGCUUCAUGAGGAAUGAGAACUUUUUGGCUAUGUUGACAGAUGCAUGUAGUCACAUCUUUGUGCAGCUGUACAAGUAUCGUGUAAAAAAUACAUGUAAGUAUAUUGUUGGAAUUAUAAUGGAGAUUAUACUAUACGGGAAACAUGAACAUGAAGGUGUAUUGUGAGACUAAUAUUUAAUGGCACUUAACAGCUUCACGCAUUUUGAGGAAGAUGUUUUUAUUAUUAUUUGUUUCAGAAAAGUCAGCCAUUGUAGCACCACUGUUAUUUUCUAUUCAUGAUUCAAAACCUUUUUCUCUUGUAAGUAAUUUCUGUUCUUGUAUCAAAGUUUUUGUCAAGGUUGCUGAAAUGUUUUUCAACAUGCUCUAUUUUUUGAUAUCAUUAAAUGUUUCCAAGUUUCUUAUUUUUGAAUUUGUCCUCGCUCUCUGUUUUUCUAUUUCUCUAUUUUAGACAUGAAUU
ensembl:lncRNA uncharacterized LOC107678805